rnacentral:rRNA from 1 species
GACGAACGCUGGCGGCGUGCCUAAUACAUGCAAGUCGAACGCAGUGGGGACGGGUGAGUAACACGUGGGUAACCUCCCAUCAGAAGGGAUAACACUUGGAAACAGGUGCUAAACCGAUACUGAUGGAUGGACCCGCGGUGCAUUAGCUAGUUGGUGAGGUAACGGCUCACCAAGGCCAGGAUGCAUAGACGACCUUGGAUGGGGAUCGGCCACAGUGGUACUGAGACACGGCCCAAACUCCGACGGGAGGCAGCAGUAGGGAAUAUUCGGCAAUGGACGAAAGUCUGACCGAGCAACGCCGCGUGAGUGAAGAAGGUUUUCGGAUCGUAAAACUCUGAUGUUAGAGAAGCGGUAUCUAACCAGAAAGCCACGGCUAACUACGUGCCAGCAGCCGCGGUAAUAC